rnacentral:rRNA from 1 species
GACGAACGCUGGCGGCGUGCUUAACACAUGCAAGUCGAACGGAAAGGCCCUGCUUUUGUGGUGCGCUCGAGUGGCAAACGGGUGUGUAACACGUGAGUAACCUCCCCCUCUCUUUGGUAUAACUUCAGGAAACUGGGGAUUAUACCGGAUGGGAGCUCCUGCUGCAUGGUGGGGGUUGGAUAGUUUCGGCGGUUGGGGAUGGACUCGCGGCUUAUCAGCUUGUUGGUGGGUUAGUGGCUUACCAAGGCUCGGGCGGCUAGCCGGCCGGGGUGGGGGACCGGCAACAUGGGAACGGGGAUAGGGCCCGGACUCCUCGGGGAGGCAGCGGGGGGGAAUAUUGCACAAUGGGCGGAGCCCGGAGGCGCGAAGGCCGGUGGCGGGAGGACGGCCUCCGGGUUGUAACCCGUUUCGGCAGGGGACGAAGCGUGAGUGACGGUAACUGGUUAAGAAGCACCGGCUAACUACGUG